AUGAUUCUAGCUUAAGCAUCAAGAAUUCAUGACUAUUCCUAGGAGAAUGCAUAAAAAGCAUUAAUUAGCUGGUUAUAGAAACAAAAACUUUGAACCAUCCAGAAUGCAAUGGAACAUGAAUUUAUAGAUAAAAGUGAUAGGAUAAAUGCAAAAUUAAACUAGGUAAGUAACAUGUAGUUUUUUGCUUACAACUCUAUUGACCUGACUUUUGAUUUGAAAAAUGAUUGUCAUUUGCAAUAUGGACAGAUGACCGUUUUGAAUUUUCAUUAACAAUUUGAAUAACGUGUCUUUUGAAAAAUUAGGAAA
rnacentral:misc_RNA from 1 species